rnacentral:rRNA from 1 species
CCUACGGGGGGCAGCAGUGGGGAAUAUUGGACAAUGGGGGGAACCCUGAUCCAGCCAUGCCGCGUGUGUGAAGAAGGCCCUCGGGUUGUAAAGCACUUUCAGUGAGGAAGAACGCCUGGUGGUUAAUACCCAUCAGGAAAGACAUCACUCACAGAAGAAGCACCGGCUAACUCCGUGCCAGCAGCCGCGGUAAUACGGAGGGUGCGAGCCUUAAUCGGAAUUACUGGGCGUAAAGCGCGCGUAGGUGGCUUGAUAAGCCGGUUGUGAAAGCCCCGGGCUCAACCUGGGAACGGCAUCCGGAACUGUCAAGCUAGAGUGCAGGAGAGGAAGGUAGAAUUCCCGGUGUAGCGGUGAAAUGCGUAGAGAUCGGGAGGAAUACCAGUGGCGAAGGCGGCCUUCUGGACUGACACUGACACUGAGGUGCGAAAGCGUGGGUAGCAAACAGGAUUAGAUACCCGUGUAGUC